UCGUCGCAUCUGUUACGUCAAAUUGUCUUCGUUUUUCUUCCCUUUGUUAUAGCAUCAAUAGCUUCUUCUGCGUUACGGUUUGAUAAGGUUCUCGUACGAGGUUUCCACGUCUGUUUUUCAUCGUACACGCUGUUACGUCCUUAAUUUGAUAUCGCUGGAACAAUUGCAACACGUUCCUUUUGUUCUUUCGCAAAAUUGUUCUCCUUUGUCAAAGAUAUUUCUAGACAGUUGCCUAUAAUUGUACUGUUUUGUACAUUUCGAACAGUUAAGUUGCUCGUGAUUAUCAAAAACGAUUCGAACAGACACGAAUUUCGCGGUUAUGCGAUGAUCGAUUGUUCGGAAAUUUGCGAAACGAAGACCAUCGAGGCAUUCGAAUCGUUCGUUUCGACACGUUUGCAUAUUUCAAACGGGGGUUGAACCAUAAAACCUGACAGUCGUUACGUAAUAUGCAUUUAUUUAUUCAUCGGUUCCUUACUGGGUCAUAUUCGUACAUUAUACAUGACGUGAAUCAUUUACGAAUACCUUACUAUUCCGUGUGCGUCUAUAUCCUGAUACCGUCAUAUUCUACAAGAUGGCACCCUCAAACUUCGUAGAUCAAUUCCGUAUAUUCCAAAAAGAAAUAAAAAACACUUAUGAAUAAAUUGGAUAUUUCGAUAGGGAGCAUAUCCGUUGCAGAACUAACUCGGAAACACUCGAUAACUUCUGGCACGAGUUUCUUCUACCCUUAACUUUCCGGAAAUAAAAUCUACUUGUUCUACGUACUUCCAGAUAUCAGAAAAGAAAUUUGUGAAAGGACACCCUGUAUAAAGGCACCCUUCCUCGAAUGGAAAUCAAGUUCCCCGCCGUGUUUAGCUUGUACACGAUAUCGUCCCACCUGACAUCGUCAUCACGAACGUCUGUCCUUUCGUGCAUUAUUUCGAUGGAUUAUUCUUCCCACAAAUUACACGAACCGGUCUGUAUGACGAAUUAAUCACGUCCUUUUGCGAACAAAUUCGUAUCACGAGUGGCUGAUCAAUAAAUAAAUCUUUUGAAAGCGACGUGUCAUCGGUUUUGAUGGAUCGUUAUCUACUUCGCAACGAGUUCGUCAGAUUUGAAUUGCAAAACGCUUUUGUUAUUGCAAGAAAAUCGAAACAGAAAAUGUUGCAACGGGGUUUGAACUUUACGAUGGAAGUUCCCAUGGAAAAUUUCAACGUGACGAGAAGCAAGAAACCCGUUUCUCCGUUUACUAUCGACAUAUAGGGAAGAGGAGGAGAACAAGAAAGAAUGAAAAUGUCCCCCGAAGCGUCGACGAGCGUGGCAGGAAGAACGAGCGCGUUUGUACGAUGCCGAGGCAGAGAUAUCGAUGAUUUAUAAAAUCAGGACGAAAACCUCGUGGUCUCCCUGCUUGCAUAACCUUGUGCUACAAAAGACACACGCUAGAGGAGAAACCGGAGUGUGCUCCUUUCUCUCCAGUCAGUCUGGAAAUCGUUUUGUUUCGACGAUUUAUUCCCUCGAAUCCUCUUACAAAAUCAGAUAUCGGCUAUCGACUAAUGGAUGAUACUGACUUGUAAAAUCGUCUCGAACCUCUGAAUUAAGAAUCCACGCGGGAAAAAGCUAUUCUUAACGCGGAUAAAUCUUUGCUGGGGGAAAUAGAUCAACGAGUUUACAGCUUCGCUGAUGGUUGUUUGAACGAGAUCGGCAAGUUUUUAUUGGAAAUAUCAAUGGAACUUUAUGUACACGUUUUAGUGGAACCUUAAGCUUGAAAUUGACACGAGAGAAGUAUGUUUAAUAUCAUCGAAUCACGAUAGUACGACUUAAUGUUUCAAGGUGAAGAUGACUAAGUUCUCGGUCUGGACCGAGUUAAAUAUUUAAUUGGUAUAAUUUGUUGUUAUUGAAAAAUAUUCUUUAGCACGGUCGAACUCCGGCAGAAGGAAAGGGUUAAUUGGUCCAAUUAGCUCUGUCCGGCAUGGGCGUGAUCAACUCUGUUAUUAAACCGAAUGAACGCGUAUAUUAACGCCGGAGUGAAAUAUCCACCACGUGAUGCAUCUUUCGCGCUUUUCACCCUCGAUUCUCGUGACCGAGCUUCGUCAAUUCUUUGUCACCAGUGCCGUUUAAUUAAUGUCAUGUGACGUGUUCUCGUGAUCCAGGAUCGAGCACAUGCGCGUUUCAUCUUGUAAACAUUCUUGCAAUUACGCAUUGUAUCGAGUCGUAUCUCGAAAUUUCUGCUUCUUCCGACAGGCAAUAUCUUCGCGAGUGACUCAGUGGGCCUUGAGCAACCGUAAAACAUAAUUAUAUACGGAGAAAGAGUAUCGUAAAAACUGUAUAUUUAAUCUUCGUACGGAGAAGCUGGAUCGAUCGGAAUCUCUUCGUGUUACAGAACAGAGUUCUACGGAGAUGACGGUAGAAAAACAAGAACGAAAAGUAAUUCCAAGCAAAAUUUGAUCGGAAGCAUUCGGUUUCGAGGAAAUAAAGGGAGGCGUAGGAGAAGUCUAGAUAUAAUUAGAAUUAGAAGUGUAAGAACAGCAGAUCGAAAGUGCUGAGAGAACUUGAAUCAAAUUUGAUGGCCGUAUUAAAAUUGCGGUAAUAUCGAAAUUAAAAUGGACGUUUAAAUAUGCACGACAGGAAUAUUGAUCGCGAAGGAGACACUUUUAAUCGACAAACUUACCUAUGGACAUUUUUUCUCCGCUGUUUUACAAACACCUCUUUCCAGACUCCGAAAAAAAUUCUGCUACGCUUCGCAGUCGUCAUUGACGCUAACAGGUCGUUCAACCGAAGAUAGACAAAAGAUCAACUUCCGAUCGAACGAUCAGAGGUUUCCACUUCGACGAAGCAACUUUGAUCGAUAUACACGCUCGACUGAGCCAAACUUGGCUAAUGUGGACGUCGCUUCAGAAAACAACGUAUCAUGGAAGAUGAUGCAUCGCAACCACCGGUACAAUCACGCGCAACGAUGCCUUUCACCGAUAAGGGCUAAUAUAGAAUAAGGCGAUCGUUCGUGCAUCCUCGGCAAAGCUCGGUCUGCAUCGGUAACAUUACUGUCUCUCGUAUUCCCUUGGGAACAGCAGUGAACCAUGCACAGGGUGGGAGAACGUGUCACCCUGUAACUCCCCUUUCCCAGCAAAGACAUCGUUGUACUCGACCGUACGGCGCGAUGCAACUGAUUACGUACUGUAUUAUAGAAGCCUACAAAGGAACUUAGCUGACACAGUAGGCAAUAAACACAGUAUUCGUUCGAGUGACGAACGUCUACCGCCCACUAAAACGUAGGAGCCAUGGAAUUUCUAUGGGUUCUGCGAAUCGGGGUGCAGCAAUUCCAUCGUGUACGUCGACGUAUCGAAGGAUCAUCGCAAAAAUACCAAAACGCGAAGAAAACUGUCAUAUCAGAACUAACACGAGAAUUAAUAAGAGAACAUCCAAGCAUCGGAGAAUCCAACGAAUUAAAAGGAGACACGUCCCGAUGCGGCUCGAUCCUCUA